CUGUCAGGCAUUUCAAUAAAACAUAAGGGUGAGUUUCAACCAGAGAGAUGGUGGAGAACAAUCUGAUGAUAAAACACAGCCUGCUGAUGGAGUCCACCAUCCACCAGUGCUUUUUGGAAUAGACCCAAUACCCCACAAGUCAAUAACCCUGAGCACUGGGAUAAUAGAAAGGAAAUAAAAAAAAGGGUAUAAACUGUACAGCUGUUACAUGCUAAAGCUGGAAGCCACCUCACGCAGAGUCAGCCAGAAAAAAAUAGGUCUGGUCAGUGGAGACAGAGAGAGAGUCACUCCUCAAGGCUGAUUCAUCUUGCCUGUCUCAAACACCCACCCACUUGGAAUGACAUGCCCUUUGGCAGCACUGCUUUCUCAAACUACAGCCCUAAACAGCCCCUUAUAGUUUGGACAUCUAAUUAAACUUACGUGAACUGAAAUCCACUCUUUGAGACUACUUACCAGCUUCAGAUAACUGCUGCUGCAAAAGUAACACCAGAGCAAAACCACUGUUUUGUCUCAAGGUGAGACUUCACCCCCUUCAAGAGGAACUCAGACUUACUCUCCACUGGGACCUCAAUGUUUUCUCACCCUCAGCAUGAACAUCACUCCAAGAACAGGACACUAGCAAGUGUCAUUCAUGCCACUGAAUACAUCUUAGUGAUGAUAACACACGUAGCAAACUCCAGGGCAAUGAUGGAAGGGAAAGCCGCUGCUCAGUAAGCAGCAGCUGUUAUCCCAAACAGGGUUUAUAUUCCAAAAUAACUCAAUGUUUCUUUGGAAAUGGAAAUAGAUUGUGGCUAUGGUAUGUCUAAUAGUGAGAUCCAGCCUAUCCAACUGGAUGUCAGGCAUGAUAGGAUGCUAUUGGCAAUGAAGAAAGUCCAUGUAUUAAGAACAGGCAGACAAGCAAACAAUGCCAGAAGUUACCCUCUUUUGUGGAAGAAGAGAGCAGUUACUGUAAAAUGUCAUUUUAUUUAAAGUGGAUUGAGCAAAUCACUGCAAAUCUAAGUGCUGACACUGAAUGUUUGAUAUACGCUUACAACAAUGGUGGACACAUGGAAAUACAGGCCAAUAUUUACCCACUGUCCAGGUAAGCCCAACUCAGAGGAAACAAGGAGCACUACUAAGAUCCCAUCAAUAGCAACUGAAAAUCCACACGUCAGCCCAGUAGUCACAUACUGUGAUGGCAAAAGGCAACAGAGUCUGAAUCUGCAAGGGGACACAAGCCUUGAGGCACCUCCAGGAUCCAAACAAACCCCAGGAUGGCUGCAGCAGCAGUGUCCUCACCAACAGCAAGCACGCCCAAGCGGCAACCCAAGCCAGGAGGGCUCAGAAGGCUCACUAUAUAAAAUGCUGUGUGGAUGAAAGCUUUUACCCAAGGAUAGGCCAAAAAGAGAUGCCAAGUGAAAAAGAAUGAAAGGAAAUGAGGGUAGGUGAAAGAAGGUAAAAGGAAUUAACUUCUCACCCGCACAGCUCCAACCAACCGCAGGACGCAAUUAAACUGGGUUUUGUGACCACAGAGCGUAAGCAGUAGGCUAAAGGUUGAGCCUACCUAGGAAUAGGACAAUUCAGAUGUAUACUUCUACUGUGUUUUUAAUGAUGCAGCUGUACAUUAGUGAUUAGCUAAUUAUGAGCUAUCCAGCUGUUAUUACUGAUAAUACAGGAUGGCUUGUGUCCUGGAGCAGGACUCUUCUGGCAUUAAUGUGAGUUCGUGCUGAGCUCCCACCUGCAAAAGCCAUGAAAGCCUUCCUACCUCAUAUUUUAACAUCCAAAGCCUGGGCAAGGUUCAUGUCUCAUGGACUGGCUACCUAUUAGCAUUUCAUAACGUCUUACAACAAUGUGAUUAUUACGGCUCUUUUCAUUCUGUCAGGUUUCUGAAAUCAUACUAGUUAGAUCUUUCUUUCCUUCAGUAUUCGCAUUACUUUACUGACUUCUUUGUCUUAUUGGAUUUCCUAAUUUAGGUACUUGGUAAGGCUCCUUCAGAAUGAGCGUUCCAAAAUGCCUUGCUUUUUGCUGGAAGUGGUUCUCUGAAGUCUUUUGGUCCCGAGUUCACGCUGAGGGAUUAACGGUGCUCUGGAGUUUCUUAGCAGGGCAUUUGCCUCCAUCCUGCUUUUACGUAGCAAACAGCGGUCACAGCUUAAAGGGGCUGUAUACAUCAGGAAGCUCUAAUCCUCUCUAGACGGCAGAAAGGAAAAGAGGUCUGAAAUUGCUGCAAUUUCCUUUGGUUUCUGUUCUCUCUUCCCCACUGCGUGCCAGCAGCCAUUUUGGGACAGAGAAAGCCUCCAUUAUUCUAACUUUUAAUACUUUAUUUACUUACUCAUGGUCCGCUGGUUAAGUAAUUACUGCUGAAAUUAACUUAAUUACUUAGUAAGUAAUUAAAUGCUUUUGAUGCAUAGACAGAAAUUUUCCUUCAUUAAGAAGUAACUUUGUGGCAAUAAACUUUUUACCUUUGUCAAGUUGUUAGGAAUAAUUAGACCAACGUAACAGGUCUGAAAAACACUAAAAACAACGCAGCCCCCUUUUCCAUUUUAAUAACUGCAUCUACAAACCUGAUUAAGUGAUAAUGGAGGUAUUAACCAAAUUAUAUUUAAAAAUAAAUAGAUUAAACAGAAGCUGUUUCAACUCAAAGGUUAACAUUGUUCCAAGAAGUUACAGGCAUCAAUUUACAAGAACUUAUAAUGACAAUAACUCCAGAACCACUAUUAAGUACUGAAUGUGCCACUCAAUUUUAAGGAGACAAAUUAUUAGACCUUUCAUUAUUACUGUUUUAGAAAUGAAAGGCCUAAACUCAUUCCUGUUAUUUACAUGAAACACUCACUUUUGAUUUUGCUACUCACAAGCUGCCCAGUGUAUCUACCGAGCAGCAGGUCUGCCAGCACUCAGGCCCUCCAGUUCUGACUGAGUUCGUAAAUAAAUGAACCAUUAAACAAUAAUUCUGUAAAAUAAACAACACAGGAGACUACAAAUGAAAAUUAAAAUGCACAUUAUCCUGUGAUACAUUUAUGGAGACUGUGCUUUUACUAAUAUUAACUCCUAUUCAAAUGAAAGGGUUUAAAGAUUAAGCCUGUGUACGGAUGACUUCUUACAAGGGGGAAGUAUGAAACAAUCCUGCAGUGUUCCUGCUAGCCUUGGACAGACCUGUAAUGCUGUCAAAGGCAUUUUCAACAGCAACUGUGGUUCUCUACAGGGCAGUGAAAGGCAGCCAACAGGGUGAAACCACCAGCACGUCUUGUGAAGAGAAGGCAACUAACUAAACAUAAAGGACGCCUGCACCUAGCUACCUGGAAUCCACAGCACACAGCCUAAGCCCUACAAAGGUGACAACCCAAACUGCCAAAAAGGAAAGCAUGAGAAGUAACUAUGAAAAGACUGAAGUAGGAGAGUGUGCAUAGCUCUUUGGGAGAAAAAAGAUUGAUAAUAUUGCCUUUUUAACAGAAGUCUCUGAAGCACAACUUUUACUGAAAGACUGCUGAACAAAUACUCAGAUCCCAGAAAAACAAGUGUAGGUGCACACAGGGUAGACACAGUAAAUGAAAUGAAGACUUGCGAAAGAAAUUCAUAAUGUUGCGUCCUCUUAAGCUGCACCAGGGAACCCUGAUUUGACACAUUCCAGCUGGGAAAUGAAAAGAAAAAGGUAACUGAGAAAAGGCAAAUGCCCCUGGGAAGCCAGCCAGUUUCGUGCUUUGUAAGACACUCCCGGAAACAGCACCGCCCCACGUGUGUUACCAAGCACACCUGCUGACCUGCGCUGGUACUUGGUGUACUGCUGGAUAGAUUCAGAGUCAAAAAUUGUCCUACAAACAGCAAACCAGCCAGCAACCAGGAAAUUGGGACCGUUCUGGUUCGGCUCGGUCUCGGCCAGCUCCAGCCAGAUGCUGCUUUCGGCACACCGUGCUCCUGCCCUGCUUCACCACGCCGGCUUUCUUCUGAACCCCUUCUCCCUCUGGUUUUAGGAUAGCUUUCCUUACUCCUCGGUUACAGAAGCUGACAGGUCCCAUAGCCAGCUGUAUCAAAAAGGAUGGUGUGGGGGGGAAACAACGUAAAAGCUCCUGCUUUCUGAGGAAGGUGCACAAGAUGCGGCUUGGGAAGGAUGAGAACUGAGCAAGGAGAAAGCAGUGGGUGUGCUCAUUGGGGAAAAUAGGGCAUGGUUUUGACAGAAGGUGAAACACUGGUAGGGGUGGGGGAAAGAAUGGAAGGAGCAGCAGUCUGGUUCUACUAUUGCCCAAACUUCAUCAAAUUUAAUUUGUUUCCCUGCUAAUUCCCCAGCAAUUUAUCUUACUGUAGCAUUUCACCAGUCCAAUGCAGUCAUUUUUGCAAGAUCUGGGCAAAGGGCUCUUAUCCCUUUGCUUGGAUAAAUAUGCACUACCUCAGCUUCCCCCAAAACUUCAUUUAAUCCAUAAAUAAGGAUGCAGCAUAACUUCCCACAUACACAUCUUUACUUCCAUCCUCCUGAGUCCAUUUAAAUCCUGACUUCCUACAACAAAUCUACAUUAAGAAGGCAGUAUUUUCUUUUAGAUAUUUUCACUUUGAUACAGGAUAUCAGCCAUUCUUCUUGUAAACAAUACCUAUCUGACUUACAGACUCCUUACACUGAUGAGCAAAAAUCAAAAUCUUAAGUAUCUACUCAGUAAUUAUACUGUAACUGCUUACAUCAGGUACAGAACAGAGUCUACUGAAUGGGCAUAAAGGCUAUGAUUUUUUUUAGGGACCUGAGCUCCUGCUGUCUAUGGACUUCUUGAGUUUUAGGACAGCCAUUUUGUACUUCAAAUUGAAUUUAUAUAUGAGCUACAGGUCCACCACAUCACAGAAAAUGGGGUUGGUUCUUCCCUAGCACGUAACACACUGCCCCUCAAGUCGGAUACGUCAACUGUGGUGUCUGGAGGCACGGAUGGAGGCACUUGCUAUUUCCUCUGUCUCCAGUCACAGCAAGGCUUCUGGCACUUUAACUUUCUGGUUUAUCAGAAAUUUUGAUAAUUCAGCACAUCUCUAAGCGUGUUUGACUGACCUGACAUAUCUCAAGGAAUGGCACAAGGAAAUUUGGUAUCAGUGAAGUAACCUCACUCCCUGCUAGGGAUAAAAUAACUCUCUGAAUGAAAAUAAAUGACUUUGAUUUAGAGACCAAGAAUGUCACAAAAACUGGGUGAAGCUUAUUACUUUUUGUUGGAUAAAAUCUAUUGCCUUAGGCUCAGGGGCAGCUUUUACUACAAAAAAUUUAACCCUGAAGCUAAACAAAAACUGUUUUGGAAGAGUAAUCUCAGAGAAGACCUUGUGCUCAAGCCGGCUUGUCUGGUUGCUUGUGCUCAGCACUUACAGCAAAAUCAGUAUCCCCAGAAAUCUUUGGCAUGAUGAAAUCUGUAGUUGUGAUUCCAGUGUUUAAGUUGUCUGUCUGUGAGAAAAUUUUAAAUUGAUUGGUAGAUAAGCUUGCAGGUUUUUGGUGGUGGUGGUUUUUGUUCCUUUAAUUUAGAAAUAGACUUAAACCCUACAUGAAUUUUUAGAUUGCUUAAAAAUAACUGAAUAUUUCACUAAAUUCAAAUGGAAAGAUAAAUAUAUGUCAUUUUUUGACAAAUAAAGGGCUCUCACCAUGGAGCGGGGAAGGGGAAGAGAACAUACACAUGCUUACUCUUAGAAGACCAGUGUCCUACCCAACCAGAAAGUAUAUCUGAAUGCCCUUCGCAAACACUUGCCUUUGAAAGCCAUCAAACAUCCCUAUCUAAAGGAAACACACGGUACGUGCUGUUUCAUGGGAAAGUGGAAAUCAAAUAAGUACCUGGAGAAAUGCUUCGAUACGGUGUUACCCUUACAGCCUAGGAGUCUUUUGCUGUUCAGCUUCAUUAUGGGCAUGGUCUGGAUUCCUAAAGACAAAUAUCUGCUGUCUUUGGGGAUGCCUUACAGUAGCCUGUCUGGCACCUAGCUGCUGGUCCAGAAAGACAUCAUCUUCCACAAAGGCUGCUAACCCUGCUAAGUGCUCUGGUAUGAGAUCUCUGCAUUGAACUGUCCAAGUUCAAACUACACAGCAACACAUAGCAACCCAAAUCAGCUUAAAAGCACAGUUCCCAACACCCAUUCUUGUGGAGCUGGCAGGAACUUUGCCGCCCACCUCACAGGGGGAGGCACGGGACAGCACAAUCGUCACGAUAUUCAAACGUGCAGGCAAAAUGGGAGCGAACCCAUGCAAAGCAGCAGGAAGCAGGCAAGGAAAAGGCCUUCACAUUUGAAAGAACAAGCUCAUGAUCAGCAAUGGUACAAACGGGAAGCAAAUGCUGUGACUAGUCAUCUCACAGUCGGAUCUGAAAAAGACCCGCUUACUUUCUGACAGUGAUGCUUCCGUUUGUUACUCUCAAAGCUUUAUUACUGAAAGCAGAGCAAGAAAUUUAAUGUCAGCCACAUCUGGUAUAAAGCUCCCUAGCAGGGAAACUGAGGAUCAGUCACUAUCACUUAUAUUUUUUAGUCGUUUUUCUCCUAUUAUGGGGCUUGCUUUUAACAUUACUAUCUAUUUGUGUUGCAGUAUCACAUGAUGGCACAGACCUCCUAUCUCAAGCACUGUGCGUGCAGGCACAGAUAGCACACAGACAACAUCUUGAUCACUUACAAAUAAGCCAAAACUCAGCAGGCAGACGAGCAGAAAUAGCGACAACAAACGAACUAGGACCAUAUUUAACUGGACAGACAACAAUCCCGCUGUCUUGAACAGCCAAAUCGCUGCCCAGUUCCUACGAGCAGAAAAAUAGGGAGCUGAAGGGCGAAAGAGGUCAGUGGCACUUGCAAAGCAGAGGUGGGUGACAACACCUCAAAAGCAUUUUGAAGUAACAGACAGUCAUGUAACACUGAUUUAAUAGAGCAUGAGCAGCGGGGUGGCAGGUGUAUUAGAAACAUGCAUGUGAAGGGAAGCAUUUCAGGCUGGAAAUGAACAUUUGCAUUCAUUUUGGAUCAUCACCUCACUUCCUUAACUUUUGGAUUUUAGGAGUUGCUCAGGAAGGAUCAUCAUGCCUGUGGACCAACUGCUGAGGUCAGGUAUAAGGACACAAGAAUCCCCACAUGCAACCAUUCAUGCUGUCUCACUUUGGAAACCACUUUCCUUCUUUCUCCUGUCAAAACCCAGCAGCAGCUACUAAAGCAUAACAUUGUGCACAUGCUCCUAAAACACUUCAAGCUAGUACAGAGAGUUUCCAGUCCUUUUAUACCUCCUUUCCUUUUGGCAAAAGACAGCGAGAGCAUCUCCGGGUGACAGCAAGAGCAGCAGGAAUUCACCCACAAAGGCGUAAGAGAAAACUGCUUCCCAUUUCCCAGCACUGCCAGCCCUGCACAUUUUGGUCAGCAGGGAGAUGCUGAGCUCUCCCAUAGGGUUUGUUUUUUUCUUUUUUUCCCGUAGAUGUAACUGGAAAAAGCUUGUGCUGAUAUCAAACUAAAAAAGUUUAGCUCCCAGAUGAGGUAAAAUUUUCAAACUUUGUGACACUUUUCCACAUUAGAAAAUCAUUAGAAAGAUACCAUUAGAAAAGCAGCUGCAGUGUUCUCAAGGCAUCCGUGAGUUACUAAUGCUAAAUCAAUCAUGAAAACGCUCCUCUGGUUUUUGUUCAUUCACAAAUAUUUAUAAAAAAACAUCCUUAGUCCUAAUUUUGGGGACUGCAGAGUCACAGCAUUUACUCUUAUCCUUAUCAGAGCCUGCUCUUUAAUUUUGGCCAUGUUCUCCAUAAAGAGUGCACCCAGGUCCAGCAGCACACACGCAGCCAUCGUGACUUUCACCCUCUGCCACGCGCCAGCAUUCACUGAUGGGCAUGCGGGUACGAAACAGGCACAAGGGCGAUACGCAGGCGAGCACAAAGUCACUUCAGCCAGGCUGAGCAGUGGCAGCUCCUGCUGCUUGACACACAAGCACAGAGCUCAGCCCCUGCUACUGCCCAAAAAGGCACCUAUAUGUAUAUGCCACAGCAUCCCAGCCUGGGCUCCAAGGGCUCGCCUAAACCAGGCAGCACGUUCACCAACAUCAAUCAUCACCGUUGCUCAUUUUUCCAGUACACGAAAAUGGCAGAAAUUAUUUUAAAGACCAUCACAAUUUAUUUAUUUUUGCUCUAUUUUCCUCUAACCCUGCCCAGACACAAGCAAAUUGGACAACUGAAAGGGAUGUAACGUUGCUGGGCACUUUAUUGGCCUUGUGAAUCCCAAACUGUCCAGCCUGGGGGCAGAGGAGGCUCUCUCAAUCCACCAAAACUGAGUUCCUUGUGCAUCCUUUCCAUUUAAACCUGAAGAAACCUCAAGUAAUGCAGCACAGGGCUCUGCGGGGGAAUCUCUGGGGGAAGCCACCUUGCAGUCAGGUCUGUGCCAGUGGGAUCGUGUGGUCCCACAGCUUGUGGGGCUGGGGGUGCGGGCACCGUGACCAAGCGGGGAGCUUAGUCCUGUCCACACCAAAGCACAGGAGGAAUGAGGGGUCGGAGGCAGGUGUAUUUAGGGUGUUCAUCACCAAAUCGCCUUGCUCUGCCAGAUUUAAACGCAGGAGCUGCCCGCGGGGUCCCGGUGAAGGGAAGGGUCACCAACCCGGCUGAGAUGCACCCCACCAGCCCCCCGCG